GAUAGUGAAGGGCACGGCGGGCCAGAGAGACGCGCCAGGGCGCUGCGACAAGGUGGAGAAGGGUCGAGCUAGGAGGGAUCCGGUGGAGUCUGAGUGCGGCUUGGCGAGGGAGAAGACGCGCUGGCCAUCGACAAACCCCGGCGAGGACCUCAUCAGCGGGAAAAAACACAGGGCACGCACGCGUUAGACGACUAGAGGAAGAAGGGCGCGAGGGAGCUAUAGACCAUGGUGUUAAGGGCGGCCAUGGGAAGGAACUCGACAUGGGGCAGCAGCCGAGCGCUAGAGUUGAGACCAUGGCGGCGAUGGUCGAGUGGGAGAGGGCGCUCAACACAGUGGAGAUGGGGCGGUGUGCACUGGAGAGGAUUCCACACUAGCGUAAGCG
rnacentral:lncRNA from 1 species